rnacentral:rRNA from 1 species
CCUACGGGAGGCAGCAGUGAGGAAUAUUGGUCAAUGGACGAGAGUCUGAACCAGCCAAGUAGCGUGAAGGAUGACUGCCCUAUGGGUUGUAAACUUCUUUUAUAAAGGAAUAAAACGAGGCACGUGUGCCUUUUUGCAUGUACUUUAUGAAUAAGGAUCGGCUAACUCCGUGCCAGCAGCCGCGGUAAUACGGAGGAUCCGAGCGUUAUCCGGAUUUAUUUGGGUUAAAGGGAGCGUAGAUGGGUUGUUAAGUCAGUUGUGAAAGUUUGCGGCUCAACCGUAAAAUUGCAAUUGAUACUGGCAGUCUUGAGUACAGUUGAGGUAGGCGGAAUUCGUGGUGUAGCGGUGAAAUGCUUAGAUAUCACGAAGAACCCCGAUUGCGAAGGCAGCUUACUAAACUGUGACUGACAUUGAUGCUCGAAAGUGUGGGUAUCAAACAGGAUUAGAUACCCUUGUAGUC